rnacentral:miRNA from 1 species
CAAGGAUCCCUGACUUGAUCAU